rnacentral:lncRNA from 1 species
UGUGGUAUAUAGAUAUGAUUAUUAUCCUUUGGGGUUGGAGGACGUAACUACAAUGGCAGUCUUUAUGCAUUCCUAAGUUUAUUUGUUCAUGCAUUCAAAAAACACUUAUUGAGUAUCUCCUAAGUGAAAAGAUUUUGCCUGAGGGCUGACUAUAUAUACAGAUAAAAUUAAUGCCUGGGCCUUGAAUUAACAAAUAUUUGACCUGAGAUAUGUAAACAAAAGAAAUUACAACGGUGCACAACAAUAUUACAAGGCACAGAGGUGUGGUGUAAUCGACUCAGCCUUUGGAGGGGUGAGGCAGGGGAAAGUUCAAUGAAGACUUCCUGGAAGAGGUGACAAUGGAGCCUAAGAAGGUAAAUAGAAGUAUAUCAGGCAAACUAGGGUGGGGAGAGUAUUCCUGGAAUAGAGAACAGGGAAGAGUGAACUAUAUACAAGUAUACUGUAAAAAGUAUAGGCUGGGAAUGGUGAAAGAUUAGGCUGGAGUGCAGGGGGCAGAGCAUGAAGAUGGAUUUGGGACUUUGUCAUGGGGGUGACAGAAGGACAUUCAGAAAGCUGACAACAUAAGGUUGAGGAAAAUAGAGCAGGCUAGACAGAGACCAACUUAGGCAGCUCUUGCAGCAACCCAGGUGAGAGGGAAUUCAAAGAAAGCUAUGAUAGAGAAACUAUCAACUGAGGGUGGAAAAGGGAGAGUCAUUCUGCCUGGAAAGACCUGGGCAGACAUGGGGCGAUAGGGGAUCUGACUGUUUUGAAAGAAUUGAACUUCAACGGCACAAGCAGAAGGAAAUGGAAACUCCUUGGAGAUAGUCUGUGUUUGUGCUAAACCCCAAAGCCAGGCACAGACCAAGUCACAUAAACAAGCUUUUAAUGUACAUUUGCUGGAUGAAUGGAAAACAAAUUCCAGCGGUAUAUGCCUUAUCUCUUAACCCACUCCAAAACAUGGGACUGAAACAACCACCCUUUAGUCUUGCUUGCCAGUCUACAGAGUAGAUGGACAGCUCUGCUGGUCCCAGCCAAGCUUGGUUGAUCUCAGUGUCAGCAGUCAUCACACGCUCAAGCAUCUGCAGUCUUCUAGAUGGUGCAUUAGAGGCUGGACGGCUAUCAGGUUGAGAGACAGGGUGACUGAGCAUCUAAGUAGACUAGCCUGGGCUCAUUCCCAUGGUGGUGCUAGGGCUCAGUAGAGUGAACAAAAGCAUGCAAGGCCUUUUUAAGGCUUAGGCUUAGAAGUUGAGGUGCAUAACUUCUGUUGCCUCUUUUAGUCCAAGCAGGUCACAAGGCCUUUCCAGAUUCAAGUGGAGGGGAAAAUACCAUUUCUGGAUGAAAGAAAAUGGAACAUCACCUUCUGAAAGGAUGUGGGUAGAGUGGGGAAAAGAAUUGCAGUUGUUUAUAAUCUAUCACACAGGAAGAUGGCAGAAACUGAGCAGGGUUGAGAGGCUGGACUUUGCUGAGCAUCAUCAGGGCAGCACAGACAGACAGAGAUCACUCACAGGAGAGGCAGGUGAGGGGUAGCCAGGGUACAUGGAAGACUGAGCUGGAGGAGAAUGUAGAAGCCACACUAAGAAGCUUUGAACGUCAGGCUAAAGAUGUUUGUAAUGUGUUUUAUACUCCCCGGGUAGCUCUCAAAAGGUUCUGAGAUAGGAAAUGACACCAUCAAAAGAAACCUCAACCAAUGUGGGAGGUUAGGGGAGUUCAUUUUAGAUGCUGGGUGCUCGUCGUUCAAGAAUGGGCUGUACAUUGCAGCUAUGAGAAAAGCACGUAGAGCAGGAUCUUCUGGGUCUCUCCAUCAUCUCUCACUGCCCAGUGUUCUCUAGGGUGGCAACUGAAACCAUUUCAAAUGCAAAACCAGAAGCCAGCUUAAGUCUACCAAGACCACCAUAUGAUAAAGAUUACAACAUUCUCAACAACAUAUAACACGUUUGCUGGCCCAGGCCAAUUUUAAGCUACUUCUUUCUCUCCUUUGGCAGCAUCUCGGCCAUAAAAUGAAUGCAAUUAACAAUCUCUUGGAGUUCCCUAGUGGUUAAGGAUCCAGGGUUGUCACUGCUGUGACUUGGGUCACUGCUAUGGCACAGGUUCAAUCCCUGGCCCAGGAACUUCACCAUGCUGUGGGAGUGGCCCAAAACCAAAACAAACAAACCAACAAAAAACUGUUCUAUUUGUGGGACAUAAAUACUAAAUACUGUGGUAGAGCAGAUUCAUUAUUUUCAAAGCUCAAUAUGUUCUCUUUUAAACUUAAAGUAUAGUCUCCUCUUGCAUAGCCUUUGAAUGAACCUGGGGUUUGUUCUCUGUUUUGCAGUGUUGGGAACUUAACCAAAGAAAGGCUAUGAACAGAGUGAUAAAUGAUGGGUCAAGAGGAGGUGAGUAGACUUAAAUCCUAAGCCAUCUUAAAUGACAGUCCUUGCCCUCUAAGGAUAAACUCCUUCCACUUAUCUUUAAGAUGUACCAGCAUGACAAAAUAGGUCCCAUCACCCAUGCUAAAAAUGGCACCAUUUCAGACAGUUUAGUUUUCUUAAAAGGAAUCAUGGGAUGUUCCUCUCCUGACUUUUCUGUAAUCCCUAUGCCUCCUCCAGAGUUCUACCUUGGCAAUGUGAACCCAGUGCCAUGGCCCUGUGGCACCCUGCUUUAUCACUAAAGUCUAACCCUUAAUUGGUGCUUCAUGAUUAUUAGUCGAAUGAAUAUAGGAGUGAAUACUGGAGCCAAAUAGAGAAGAUUAAAGAGACUGACAAUAUUGAAUUCAGCACUUACCUGUGCCACUUGCCAGUUGUGUUUUCGUGGACAGGUUACUUGCUUAACCUCCUAAACCUUAGACUUAUCCCAUGUAAGGCGGCAAGAAGAAACUCUGCUGCAGAGUUUUCAUGGAAGAAAGUACCAGAGGAACUGCUGUGGGAUGAAUGCUCAAUAAAUAAAAGAUGAGAAGGGCAAGUUGGAGAAAGAGAUGGCCCCAAAUUCUGGCAAGGCAAAGUUCUCUCCAAAAGUACAGAAGGAGACAUAUGGAGCAAACCAAUUCGAUUUCCCUGCAGCUGGCAGGAAGAUGUCAGGAGACCACUCGCACUUUUUGGCUUCUUGCUAUCUCACCAAAACCAUUCCCUUCCUCAUCUGGAGAUGGGCUUUUAAAGUGUAGUCCAUAUGUCAGAUGGCAGCAUGAUGUGGACCAAACAUGAACUCCCAUUACUAAAUACAGCUCAUAUAUAACUGCAGGGGGUCCGAUUACACAGCCCCCAAAAGGUCUGUCCAAGUCUUAACGCUGGUACCUGAGACCUUAUUGGAAAUAGGGUCUUUGCAUAAGUAAUCAAGUUAAGACAAGGUCAUAUCAGAUUAGGAUGGGCCCUAAAUCCAGUGACUGGUGUCUUUAUAAGGGGAAGGAGAGGGAGAUUUGGACACAGAGACAUACACAGGGAAGAAGGCCAUGUGAUUGCAGAGACAGGAGUUGGACGGAUGUAUCUAGAAAACAGAGAAAUGUCAAGGGUCGUUGGCAACCACCAGAAGCUGGAAGAGGCACAAAAAGACCCUACCCUACAGCCUUCACAGUGAACAAGUCCCUGACAAAACCUUGAUUUAGACUUCUGGCCUCUAGAACUGUGAAAGAAUACAUUUCUGUUACUUUAAGCCACUCAAUUUGUGGCAAUUUGUUAUGGCAGCCUUAGCAAACUAAUACACAUACAAAUAGCUUUCAUUCUGGCCUCCAGGAUUUGUUACCAGCCUUUCCUGGAAAAAGUUUCAUAUCCAGAAUAAAGCCCUUUUAGGCAAUAGGACAUUUUCGGACAUGCAAAAUUAGUGAUCAUAGGAAUAAAGAAGGGGAACAAAGGGAUCAUCAAGAGGAGGCAGCAAAGGAGAUAACGGCCAAAAGAAAAUCAUCAAGGCAAAUGCGGGCAGCAGCAGGGCGACAGCGGGCAGUGUUAGCCAGAGCCGGCUUCCAGCUGAGAGAGGCCAGGUGGGGAUGGCCUUGACAGUUGCUACAGAAGACAGGUGUUGUGAAGUCAGCGGGCCCAGGACAACUGAAAGGUCACACAAGAUCAGGCCAGAAGCCAGGCCUGGAAAUGCCCAUGUCAGGCAUUUGAUCAUUCUUUCCAUCCUACAUCACGGGGAUUCUGGGUUUACUUACACUUGCAAGGGCUAGUUUGGCACGUGGGUGGAAUUUCUACCUAAAUCAUUCCUGGAAAGUUGUGUUCCUGUGAGUUUAUGGUCUCAAUCUGUAAUGGACCUUUCAUCACCCACUAGGGUAUCCCUUUAUUUGUGUGUUACUUACAAGGACUUGGGUCAUUCCCUCCUCCCCACCUUCUGUAUCCUAAGAUUGGAACCCAGAGUUCCAUGAGUGGGCUGAACUUACCUGGGCUCAGGGCCAGAUAAAGGGAGUGGCAGCUUCAUGGAAGUGCCACCGCCACUCACAGAGACAGACAAAGAACUGGUGCCAGGCUGUUGUAACAAAGGACUGUGGUUCCUUCCCCAUUACCUCAAAUAAAGAAAACUGUGGACCACAUGAUAAGUUAACUAGAAUCUCAACAUUUCAACAAUUUUGAAAGACUCUGGGGCCAACAACUGAUUGUAAAUGUUAUUUAAAAUUUAUUCUUGGAGUUUCUGCUGUGGCACAGUGAGUUAAGGAGUUGGUAUUGUCUUUGCAGAGGCUUGGGUUGCUGCUGAGAUGUGGGUUCAAUCCCUGGCCUGGUACAAUGAGUUAAGAAUCCAGCAUUGCAGCAGCUGUGGCAUAGGUCACAGCUACGGCUCAGAUUGGAGUCUCGGGCGGGGCAACUUCCAUAUUCUGCAGAUGCAGCCAAAUAAAUAUAAUAAAAUAAAAUUUAUUCUUGAGGGUCCUCUCUGUGCGGGACUCUGAACUAAGUCUGGGGGACCUGAAGUCAGAAGUUAUGACUGCUGGCAGCUCAUAAUCUCUUGUGGAAGGAGGAACCACAUGAGCAUUUGGAGAUCAAGCCAGAAGAAGGCACAGGCAAAGGGCCAAUGGGAAGGUGGUGGAGGAAGGGUUACUCAUAUGGAUGCACAUGGUUUCUGAAUACCUCCUCUGGGCCAGGGGCAGCAGAGACUGAGAAUAAGCAAGGGCCUUGCCUUGGGAGUGACUGAAGACAAAAUAUGUUCAACAUAAGCAGCCAGUUUCUGGCAACUUCUCUCUCCCUACCUUCCUCUCCCCACUUCCCUGUCCUUGUCACUGCGACCUACUUUUUUUCACAGCCUUCAUCACUUGCUGAAACAGUCUUGCUGGUUUAUAUGCUACUUGUUCAUUGCCUCUCUCUCUCAACGGAAUGUGUGCCUAGUGAGUGCAUGCUCUACACUAUCCCCAAACCCUAGGUGCCUGGCACUUAAUAGUUGCUCAAUGAAUAUUUGUUGACUGAAUAAACUAUAACCCCACAGGAAUAAAAGAAGCCAAUAAUGAAAAGAGAUUAAGAUUAUUGGCUUUGAGUCCAGACUCCCUGGGUUUGAACCUGAGCUCCUCCAUCUUUUCCCUGUUUGACCCUGAUCUGGUUAUUCGACAUUUGUAUGCCUCAGUUUCCUCAACCACAAAAUGGGAAAACUAACAUAACCCGCCUCAUGGGAUUGUUAGGAAGAGUAAGUGAAUUCAUAUAUACAAAAAGCACUGCAAGCAGGGAUUAACAAAAGUUUUCUUAAAGAGUCAUAUAGUAAAUAUUAUAGGUUUUGCAGGCUAUAUGGUUUCCUUGCAAUGACUCAACUCAGCUCCUUUAGCACAAAAGGAGCCACAGACAAUAGAUAAAGGGGUUGAGUGUGGCUGUCUUUCAAUCAAAACAUUAAGAAUUAUGGCACAACAUGUAACAUAUAAGAAUUAUAACCCAAAAUAAUAAUCUAUUGGCUAGAGAAUUCAAAGUCUUUCUUUUGCAACAAAUUCACAGUAUGAUUUCAAAACUUCCUAAGUCACAGUUUAGUCAUCUGUAAAUGGAGAUAAUAACUACUCUUUCCUACCUUGCUGGGUUAUUUAGUGAUCACAUCAGAUAAAAGAUGAAAUGAAAAGUACAGAUGUUCUAGGUACAAAUAAUGCCAAAAAACGCAGGACAAAUAUGAUUCUCCAGCACUGUUUGUACCCCAGGUUGCCAUGCAGAAGUUAGGUCAGAUAUUAUUAUCCUCAGUUUAUAGAUGAGAAAACCAGAGAUAUUAAAUGAUUCAUCUGAAGUCACAUAGCUCAUAAAUGGAGGACCUAAAUUUGAACCUAGAAAAAUUUUAUUCUAGCACAAUGUCUAUCAGCAACAGGGCAACAUAUCUCCCCAUAUAAAACAUGAAUCUUAUACACUGAGUUUCUCUUGGAAUUUUUCACCUUUACCUUUUCUAUUCAUAAAUAUCCCAUUUCUUUAGGCUAAUCCUAGGCCAAAGAAUUCCAUAAGAAUUGUAGCAGUUGCUUCCUAUCCUUGUAAUUAUUGAGAAGUCAUUAUAACUCAGCACACACCUUUUU